CCUACGGGGGGCUGCAGUGGGGAAUAUUGGACAAUGGGGGAAACCCUGAUCCAGCAAUGCCGCGUGUGUGAAGAAGGCCUGCGGGUUGUAAAGCACUUUCGGUUGGGAAGAAAAGUUUGGCGCCAAUACCGCCGAACCUUGACGUUACUGACAGAAGAAGCACCGGCUACCUCUGUGCCAGCAGCCGCGGUAAUACAGAGGGAAUAACCGGUAGUCGGAAUUGCUGGGCGGGAAGCGCGCGUAGGUGGUGAAAUCCCCGGGCUUAACCUGGGAACUGCAUUCGAUACUACAUGGCUAGAGUAUGGUAGAGGGAAGUGGAAUUUCCGGUGUAGCGGUGAAAUGCGUAGAUAUCGGAAGGAACACCAAUGGCGAAGGCAGCUUCCUGGACUAAUACUGACACUGAGGCACGAAAGCGUGGGUAGCAAACAGGAUUAGAUACCCGAGUAGUC
rnacentral:rRNA from 1 species